AUGUGUUAGACAUAAAAAACAAAGAAAUGAUACGGUAGACAUACGUUGCUAGUUUUUCGCAAAGAAAGUGAUGAAUGCCAAUAUUGUUAGGAUAGCGUGAAAGAUAUGCAACACAAAGUUGACUCGUGAAAUGGGCAGACUCAAAGAAUCUUAAAAGUAACUCCUAGAAAUAGCGUUAAUUACGCAGCUAACACAACGAUCAAAAGUCAUACAUUUCCCGAAUUCGAA